GGUUAAGUGACUAAGCGUAUACGGUGGAUGCCUUGGCAGUCAGAGGCGAUGAAGGACGUACUAACUUGCGAUAAGCCCGGAUGAGGGAGUAAGACCCACAUGAGUCCGGGAUUUCCGAAUGGGGAAACCCACCUGCAGCAGCAGGUAUCUUUACCUGAAUCCAUAGGGUAAAGAGGCGAACCGGGGGAACUGAAACAUCUAAGUACCCCGAGGAAAAGAAAUCAACAGAGAUUCCGGUAGUAGCGGCGAGCGACCCCGGAUUAGCCCUUAAGUUUUAUAUGUGUCAGGUGAAGGCUCUGGAAAGUGCCGCGAUACAGGGUGACAGCCCCGUAACCGAAGAUGCAUAUAAGGUGAAAACGAGUAGGACGGGACACGUGAUAUCCUGUCUGAACAUGGGGGGACCAUCCUCCAAGGCUAAAUACUCCUGACUGACCGAUAGUGAACCAGUACCGUGAGGGAAAGGCGAAAAGAA
rnacentral:ncRNA from 1 species